UUUCCGUAGGUGAACCUGCGGAAGGAUCAUUAGUGAAUAUUAGGACGUUCAAUUUAACUUGAAGUCCGAACUCCCACUUUCUAACCCUGUGCAUUUGUUUUGGCUAGUAGGAUAUUUCGGUAUCCGAACACCUCUUCAUUUACAAACACUAAGUCUAUGAAUGUUUAAAUUUUAUAACAAUAUAAAACUUUCAACAACGGAUCUCUUGGCUCUCGCAUCGAUGAAGAACGCAGC
rnacentral:misc_RNA from 1 species